rnacentral:misc_RNA from 1 species
GACGUAGGUGGCGAACGUUGCUCGGAAUUACUGGGCGUAAAGCGCGUGUAGGCGGAUUGGUAAGUCAGAUGUGAAAGCCCCGGGCUCAACCUGGGAACAGCAUUUGAAACUGCUAGUCUAGAGUGGUGGAGAGGGAAGCGGAAUUCCUGGUGUAGAGGUGAAAUUCGUAGAUAUCAGGAGGAACACCGGUGGCGAAGGCGGCUUCCUGGACACCAACUGACGCUGAGACGCGAAAGCGUGGGGAGCAAACAGG